rnacentral:tRNA from 1 species
GGGGAGGUGCCAGAGUGGCCGAUUGGGCUCGCCUGCUAAGUGAGUGCUGGGGCUUAAACCUCAGCCGAGGGUUCGAAUCCCUCCCUCCCCGCCA